AUUGAACGCUGGCGGCAGGCCUAACACAUGCAAGUCGAACGGUAACAGGAAGCAGCUUGCUGCUUUGCUGACGAGUGGCGGACGGGUGAGUAAUGUCUGGGAAACUGCCUGAUGGAGGGGGAUAACUACUGGAAACGGUAGCUAAUACCGCAUAACGUCGCAAGACCAAAGAGGGGGACCUUCGGGCCUCUUGCCAUCGGAUGUGCCCAGAUGGGAUUAGCUAGUAGGUGGGGCAACGGCUCACCUAGGCGACGAUCCCUAGCUGGUCUGAGAGGAUGACCAGCCACACUGGAACUGAGACACGGUCCAGACUCCUACGGGAGGCAGCAGUGGGGAAUAUUGCACAAUGGGCGCAAGCCUGAUGCAGCCAUGCCGCGUGUAUGAAGAAGGCCUUCGGGUUGUAAAGUACUUUCAGCGGGGAGGAAGGGAGUAAAGUUAAUACCUUUGCUCAUUGACGUUACCCGCAGAAGAAGCACCGGCUAACUCCGUG
rnacentral:rRNA from 1 species